GAUGAACGCUGGCGGCGUGCCUAAUACAUGCAAGUCGAGCGAACGGACGAGAAGCUUGCUUCUCUGAUGUUAGCGGCGGACGUGUGAGUAACACGUGGAUACCCUACCUAUAAGACUGGGAUAACUUCGGGAAACCGUAGCUAAUACCGGAUAAUAUUUUGCACCGCAUGGUUCAAAAGUGAAAGACGGUCUUGCUGUCACUUCUAGAUGGAUCCGCGCUGCAUUAGCUAGUUGGUAAGGUAACGGCUUACCAAGGCAACGAUGCAUAGCCGACCUGAGAGGGUGAUCGGCCACACUGGAGCUGAGACAGGGUCCAGACUCCUACGGGAGGCAGCAGUAGGGAAUCUUCCGCAAUAGGCGAAAGCCUGACGGAGCAACGCCGCGUGAGUGAUGAAGGUCUUCGGAUCGUAAAACUCUGUUAUGAGGGAAGAACAUAUGUGUAAGUAACUGUGCACAGCUUGACGGUACCUAAUCAGAAAGCCACGGCUAACUACGUG
rnacentral:rRNA from 1 species